rnacentral:rRNA from 1 species
GACGAACGCUGGCGGCGUGCUUAACACAUGCAAGUCGAACGGAAAGGCCCUGCUUUUGUGGGGUGCUCGAGUGGCGAACGGGUGAGUAACACGUGAGUAACCUGCCCUUGACUUUGGGAUAACUUCAGGAAACUGGGGCUAAUACCGGAUAGGAGCUCCUGCUGCAUGGUGGGGGUUGGAAAGUUUCGGCGGUUGGGGAUGGACUCGCGGCUUAUCAGCUUGUUGGUGGGGUAGUGGCUUACCAAGGCUUUGACGGGUAGCCGGCCUGAGAGGGUGACCGGCCACAUUGGGACUGAGAUACGGCCCAGACUCCUACGGGAGGCAGCAGUGGGGAAUAUUGCACAAUGGGCGGAAGCCUGAUGCAGCAACGCCGCGUGCGGGAUGACGGCCUUCGGGUUGUAAACCGCUUUCGCCUGUGACGAAGCGUGAGUGACGGUAAUGGGUAAAGAAGCACCGGCUAACUACGUGCCAGCAGCCGCGGUGAUACGUAGGGUGCGAGCGUUGUCCGGAUUUAUUGGGCGUAAAGGGCUCGUAGGUGGUUGAUCGCGUCGGAAGUGUAAUCUUGGGGCUUAACCCUGAGCGUGCUUUCGAUACGGGUUGACUUGAGGAAGUUAGGGGAGAAUGGAAUUCCUGGUGGAGCGGUGGAAUGCGCAGAUAUCAGGAGGAACACCAGUGGCGAAGGCGGUUCUCUGGGCCUUUCCUGACGCUGAGGAGCGAAAGCGUGGGGAGCGAACAGGCUUAGAUACCCUGGUAGUCCACGCUGUAAACGGUGGGUACUAGGUGUGGGGUCCAUUCCACGGGUUCCGUGCCGUAGCUAACGCUUUAAGUACCCCGCCUGGGGAGUACGGCCGCAAGGCUAAAACUCAAAGGAAUUGACGGGGCCCCGCACAAGCGGCGGAGCAUGCGGAUUAAUUCGAUGCAACGCGUAGAACCUUACCUGGGUUUGACAUGGAUCGGGAGUGCUCAGAGAUGGGUGUGCCUCUUUUGGGGUCGGUUCACAGGUGGUGCAUGGCUGUCGUCAGCUCGUGUCGUGAGAUGUUGGGUUAAGUCCCGCAACGAGCGCAACCCUUGUUCACUGUUGCCAGCACGUUAUGGUGGGGACUCAGUGGAGACCGCCGGGGUCAACUCGGAGGAAGGUGGGGAUGACGUCAAGUCAUCAUGCCCCUUAUGUCCAGGGCUUCACGCAUGCUACAAUGGCUGGUACAGAGAGUGGCGAGCCUGUGAGGGUGAGCGAAUCUCGGAAAGCCGGUCUCAGUUCGGAUUGGGGUCUGCAACUCGACCUCAUGAAGUCGGAGUCGCUAGUAAUCGCAGAUCAGCAACGCUGCGGUGAAUAAGUUCCCGGGGCU